AAAACUUAAAGCUAGCCUCAUCUAAUUACUAUACAAAUCAUGCCAGCGUGGAAUGGUGCCAAGUAUACUGGCUGCAUUUCCGCGCUGGACAGCCAGGUUGAUCCGUUGUGCCAAAAAUGACCCAGCCCUUUUGUCACUAGAUGAGGCUAUCAAUCGCGAUAUUAUAAUUUUUGUUAA